rnacentral:rRNA from 1 species
UUUUAUGGAGAGUUUGAUCCUGGCUCAGGAUGAACGCUGGCGGCGUGCCUAAUACAUGCAAGUCGAGCGAACGGACGAGAAGCUUGCUUCUCUGAUGUUAGCGGCGGACGGGUGAGUAACACGUGGAUAACCUACCUAUAAGACUGGGAUAACUUCGGGAAACCGGAGCUAAUACCGGAUAAUAUUUUGAACCGCAUGGUU